AUUGAACGCUGGCGGCAGGCCUAACACAUGCAAGUCGAGCGGAUGAAGGGAGCUUGCUCCUGGAUUCAGCGGCGGACGGGUGAGUAAUGCCUAGGAAUCUGCCUGGUAGUGGGGGAUAACGUCCGGAAACGGGCGCUAAUACCGCAUACGUCCUGAGGGAGAAAGUGGGGGAUCUUCGGACCUCACGCUAUCAGAUGAGCCUAGGUCGGAUUAUCUAGUUGGUGGGGUAAAGGCCUACCAAGGCGACGAUCCGUAACUGGUCUGAGAGGAUGAUCAGUCACACUGGAACUGAGACACGGUCCAGACUCCUACGGGAGGCAGCAGUGGGGAAUAUUGGACAAUGGGCGAAAGCCUGAUCCAGCCAUGCCGCGGGUGUGAAGAAGGUCUUCGAUUGUAAAGCACUUUAAGUUGGGAGGAAGGGCAGUAAGUUAAUACCUUGCUGUUUUGACGUUACCAACAGAAUAAGCACCGGCUAACUUCGUG
rnacentral:rRNA from 1 species